rnacentral:rRNA from 1 species
AUUGAACGCUGGCGGCAUGCGUAACACAUGCAAGUCGAACGGUGUUUGGUGCUUGCACCAGACAUAGUGGCGGACGGGUGAGUAAUGCGUAGGAAUCUGUCUUAGAGAGGGGGACAACCCGAGGAAACUUGGGCUAAAAACCGCAUAUUCUCGAGAGAGGAAAGCAGGGGACCGGAAACGGCCUUGUGCUCUAAGGUGAGCCUACGUCGGAUUAGCUAGUUGGUAGGGUAAAAGCCUACCAAGGCGAUGAUCUGUAGCUGGUCUGAGAGGACGGACAGCCACACUGGGACUGAGACACGGCCCAGACACCUACGGGAGGCAGCAGUGGGGAAUA